CCCACCCUACUAUCACCAACCCACCAUCACUACUGAAUAAGUUCAUAAAUUAUGAAAAUUACCAUGCUAGAACUAGUAACAAGAAAACGAAUUUCUCCAAAGUGCAAACAUAAGCCAGAAUGGACAACCCGCUGGCAAUUAGCGAUUCUGAAUCAACUAUAGCAAAUUUCUUCUAGAAAACCCUAUAUUAUGUAUCGUCAACCUCACACAAGAGCCCUCCUGGAAAGAUUAAAAGGAAGAGAAGGAACUCGGCAAAUCUUAACCCCGCCUGUUUACCAAAAACACCGCCUCCUGCUUAAAUAUAAGAGGUCCAGCCUGCCCAGUGUUCAUAUCAACGGCCGCGUGAUUUAAGCGCGCGAAGGUAGCAUAAUCAUUUGUUCUUUAAAUGAGGACUUGUAUCAAUGGCAUCACGAGGGUUAUACUGUCUCCUCUACCCAAUCAGUGAAACUAAUUUCCCUGUGAAAAAGCAGGGAUAAAAAUAUAAGACGAGAAGACCCCAUGGAGCUUAAAACUCAGCAACAACCCUGAUGAUGUAACCAAUAUAAUUUUAAGUCCUGUGUGCUAGUUUUAGGUUGGGGUGACCGCGGAGCAAAACAAAACCUCCACAACGAAAAGGGUAAUACCCUUAUUCAAGAAAUACUUUUCUAAAAAUUAUCAAAAUAACGUUUAAUGAUCCGAUUAUCGACCAACGAACCAAGUUACCCUGGGGAUAACAGCGCAAUCCACUCUAAGAGCCCUUAUCGACGAGUGGGCUUACGACCUCGAUGUUGGAUCAGGGUAUCCAAGUGGUGCAGCCGCUACUAAAGG
rnacentral:rRNA from 1 species